rnacentral:rRNA from 1 species
AGAAUCAACGCUGGCGGCGUGCCUAACACAUGCAAGUCGCACGAGAAAGGGACUUCGGUCCUGAGUAAAGUGGCGCACGGGUGAGUAACACGUGAAUCAUCUACCUCCGAAUGGGGAAUAACUGAGAGAAAUCUUAGCUAAUACCGCAUAAUACCUACGGGUCAAAGCAGCAAUGCGUUUGGAGAGGAGUUCGCGGUCGAUUAGUUAGUUGGCGGGGUAAUGGCCCACCAAGACGAUGAUCGAUAUCCGGCCUGAGAGGGCGCACGGACACACUGGAACUGAAACACGGUCCAGACUCCUACGGGAGGCAGCAGUGGGGAAUUUUGCGCAAUGGGGGAAACCCUGACGCAGCAACGCCGCGUGGAGGAUGAAAUAUCUUGGUAUGUAAACUCCUUUCGAUGGGGAAGAUAAUGACGGUACCCAUAGAAGAAGCCCGGCUAACUUCGUGCCAGCAGCCGC